rnacentral:lncRNA from 1 species
AGGAUUCGUUCGACUACGUCCGCUUGUCUUCUUCAUGGACUCGUUCUUCUUCCUAUCGGGAUUUCAGGCAAGAUGACCAUCACCCUCGAUAUCACUUCUAUCUUUGCUUGCUAGUUGCUCCGUUCUAUCGCUAUGUUGCGUUGCCUAUCACUUGUUUACCAUGCCUCCCAUAUUGCCAUGUCAGCCUCUAACCUUUUCACCCUUCCUCGCAAACCGUUGUUUGGCUAUGGUACCGCUUUGGCUCAGCCCCUCUUAUAGCGUUGUUAGUUGUAGGUGAAGUUGAAGAUUGCUCCAUGAUGGACAGGAUUAUUUUGGGAUAUCAGAAUAUCUCUUAUUUAAUUAAUGCAUCUAUAUACUUGGUAAAGGGUGGAAGACUAUGCCUUUUGCCUGGUGUUUUGUUCCACUCUUGCCGCCCUAGUUUCCAUCAUACCGGUGUUAUGUUCCCGGAUUUUGCGUUCCUUACGCGAUUGGGUGAUUUAUGGGACCCCCUUGACAGUUCGCUUUGAAUAAAACUCCUCCAACAAGGCCCAACCUUGGUUUUACCAUUUGCCUACCUAAGCCUUUUUCCCUUGGGUUCUGCAGACUCAAGGGUCAUCUUUAUUUUAACCCCCCGGGCCAGUGCUCCUUCGAGUGUUGGUCCGAACUGAGCUGCCUGCGGGGCCACCUUGGGGAAACUUGAGGGGUGGUUUUACUCGUAGCUAGUCUCAUCCGGUGUUGCCCUGAAAUGAGAUAUGUGCAGCUCCUAUCAGGAUUUGUCGACGCAUCGGGCGGCUUUGCUAGUCUUGUUUUACCAUUGUCGAAAUGUCUUGCGAACCGGGAUUCCGAGUCUGAUCGGGUCUUCCUGGGAGAAGGUAUAUCCUUCGUUGACCGUGAGAGCUUGUGAUGGGCUAAGUUGGGACACCCCUGCAGGGUAUAUUAUCUUUCGAAAGCCGUGCCCGCGGUUAUGAGGCAGAUGGGAAUUUGUUAAUGUCCGGUUGUAGAUAACUUGACACCAGAUCCGAAUUAAAACGCAUCAACCGCGUGUGUAGCCGUGAUGGUCUCUUUUCGGCGGAGUCCGAGAAGUGAACACGGUUUUGGGUUAUGUUUGACGUAAGUAGGAGUUCAGGAUCACUUCUUGAUCAUUGCUAGCUUCACGACCGUUCCAUUUGCUCUCUUCUCGCUCUUAUUUGUGUAUGUUAGCCACCAUAUUUGCUUAGUGCUUGCUGCAACUCCACCUCAUUACCACUUCCUACCUAUAAGCUUAAAUAGUCUUGAUCUCGCGGGUUUUGAGAUUGCUGAGUCCUCGUGACUCACCAGAUACUAUCACAACAGUUGCAGGUGCCGAUGAUACCAGUGCAGAUGAUGCAACCGAGCUCAGAUGGGUGCUCAAUGAAGACCUUGGUCGUUAUUAUGUUUUGUUUCUUGAUGAUCAGUAGUGGAGCCCAGUUGGGACGAUCGGGGAUCUAGCAGUUGGGUUAUCUUCUUUUCUUUUGGCUUUGUCCGUAGUCGGACUAUG